rnacentral:snoRNA from 1 species
AAACCUUCAUGAUGAAUUGCAUGUGAGUCCGUGUUUCACCUGAAACCUCAUGAUUAUUCUUUCACUGCACUGAUGGGUUU